UCAAGAACCUUUCACAAUGGGCGAAAGCCUGAUGAAGCGACGCUGCGUGCGGGAUGAAGGCCUUCGGGUUGUAAACCGCUUUUGUAGGGGACGAAUCUUUUGAUGACGGUACCCUUUCGAAUAAGAGGUUGCUAACUCUGUGCCAGCAGCAGCGGUAAUACAGAGACCUCGAGCGUUAUCCGGAUUUAUUGGGCGUAAAGAGUCUGUAGGGGGUUUGUUAAGUUCUAAGUAAAAUCUUAAGGCUCAACUUUAAGUUUGCUUAGAAAACUAAUAAACUUGAGUCUAGCAGAGGUGCAUAGAACUUGCGGUGUAGGAGUGAAAUCCGUUGAUAUCGCAAGGAAUACCAAAGGCGAAGGCAUUGCACUGGGCUAGCACUGACCCUGAGAGACGAAAGCGUGGGGAGCAAAAC
rnacentral:rRNA from 1 species